rnacentral:misc_RNA from 1 species
UUUAAGAAGUUGCUUCCUUUGCCC